rnacentral:ncRNA from 2 species
AACUUAUCAAGAGUGGUGGAGGGACUGGCCCUAUGAAACCCAGCAACCUACAUUUGAUUUAUGUGUGGUGCUAAAUCCAAGGAGAUAAGGA